rnacentral:piRNA from 2 species
UAACUGAACGCGCAUAGGAACAGGA